GUUCUGGUCGAACAAACAAGGGGGGAAGCAAGAGGAUGAACCCUAUUUCACCAAAUUCACAAGAAUUAAGUGAAAUCUUGAGAAAAUUAAAGGUGUAAACAACGAAUUCAAGGCUCCUACAUCUGUUCUCCGAAUUGGCAUAAAGGAAGAAGGUUCAUGCUCUAAGAAGUCGGAAGGCUCUCAGGAUCGAGGUUAACUGUCUCAUCCACUCAGAAUCCUUUUCCCAAUCCUUCUUCGUGCGUUAUUACAAGAAUUCUCAUACGCAACCAAUGU